rnacentral:tRNA from 12 species
GCGGCCGUGGUGAAAUUGGUAUACACGUAGGUUUGAGGGACCUAUGGCUUAUGCCGUGCCGGUUCAAGUCCGGUCGGCCGCACCA